rnacentral:rRNA from 1 species
AAGCCACGGAUAACUACGUGCCAGCAGCCGCGGUAAUACGUGGGUGGCAAGCGUUGUUCGGAAUUAUUGGGCGUAAAGAGUGCGUAGGCGGUUUAUUAAGUUUGAUGUGAAAUCUCGGGGCUUAAUCGCGAGAGGGCAUUCGAAACUGGGGAUCUUGAGUGUAGUAGAGGAGGAUGGAAUUCCAAGUGUAGAGGUGCAAUUCUUAGAUAUUAGGAGGAACACCAGUGGCGAAGGCGGUCAUCUGGGCUACAACUGACGCUAAUGCACGAAAGCGUGGGGAGCAAACAGGAUUA